rnacentral:snoRNA from 1 species
UCGAAUGAUGAACAUUGUGCUUCGGCACGCUGGAAAUUACCGACCAAGAUUUCGAUCUGUGCCGACAAACAGUGCUGUACCUGAUA